CAGGAGGGAUUUACUGCAUUUAACUUAUGGGACAGAGUUGCCCAGGGCAUCUACCCAGCGGCAUUCUCCCCCCAAAUCUGCAGGCUUGGAGGCCGUGUGGGUGGGCGGCAGAUCUAUUGUGAGGAAGCCAAGAAGUGGAUGUCUGCCUCCCCUGCUCCCUCCCAGAGGACCUGGAUGUGAAACUCACCCAGAGUGGACGGUGAAUCGCAACUGCCGGGUGUUCUUCCAGUUCCAGAGACUGCAUGGCUUCCUGCUCAAUGACACCUGGACCUUCUUCCUGGAGAAGAGCAACUGGUUCAGAGGCAGCACGGGUGGGCAGCAGCUCAGCCAUGAGGAAGCCAAGAAGCGGAUGUCUGUCUCCCCUCCUCCCCCACAGAGGACACAGAUGUGAAACUAACGCAGGGUGGACGCUGAAACUCAGCUGCUGGAUAAUAUUCCAGUUCCGGAGACUACACGGCUUCUGCUCAACACCAGCUGGGCCUUCAUCCUGGAGAGGAGCAACUGGAGCAGGAAGGAUGGGAAUUCCCAUGGGGCCUCUGCCCUCCACUGUGGCUUCAUGAAUGGGAUGACCCCUUGCCCCCUGUGCCACGCUGGGGGAUCUCCCAACAGCAGGGCUUCAGCAUCCCAGAAAUACAUAGACAGAGCCAAGUGGAGCCUGCAGUACCUCCUCAGGGUCCUGAAGCUCUAAGCUCCCUUGAGGACCUGGGAUGCCAGCUGGGCCAUCAAGCAGGCUCCCUGCCACCCAGGCUCCCAGCCAGUGCCUUGUGCCCAGGACUUCAGCAGGAUCACAGCAAAGGGAAGCCCAUGCCUCAGGCCAUCCCCGGUGCUCAGAGCUGUCCCGUUCUCCAGUGCCUCCAGGGACACUCAGGCUGCAACAGCAGAGCCCGUGAGUGUGCUGCUCUCAGCUCCCAACCACUGGUGCUUGCAGAAGGCCAGUCGGGGCAGACUCCUUGCCAUGGGACUCCCAGUGUGAGCAGCAGUGAGUCCUGCAGGACAGACAGGUCCCAACGGGCCGUGUGGACAAGGAGCCCCGCUGCCUGUGCAGUCCUCAGCCAGGAUGCUCUGUCCUCUCUCUUCCACCACACUGAGCACCAACAGCAGUGAGGCUGAUGUGGAAGUCAGGAGCGGCUCCCAGGGUGCCUCAGAGGAACAGAGCAUCCCAGGAAUGCAGCAGCAGGAGGAGGAGGCAGGGACCUCAGACACGCAGGCCAGAAAGGGCAAGGGUCGCCUGGGGAUUGGCAGGAGGAUCAUCCAAUGCUUCAGCUGGAUGUGUUGUGUCCUGCUAGCCCCAGAGGAAAGCCCUUGAGUGCAGAGAGGAAAGUGGCCUCUUAGUAGCCUCUUGGGAAAUGCCCCCGAGGAGGGGCCCUUCCCUGAGGAGUGAAGCAAUGAAGGGUAGUCAUGGACUCCUGUCUGGGAGGAGGGCAGAUGAGGAGGCAGUAAGAGAAACUGCAGGCAGAGAGGGAAGAUAUUGUUGCAUUUUUCAGAUGGCCAUAAGGAAACAUGUUUGCAUGGUUAGGGGUCAUGACCUUUUCCUAAGAUAGAAGAACAUGGUGUUGGAUUUUGUUUAGAAGAUUAAUCCAUGAACAUCACUCCCUAGUUAAACUUCCUGUACGCAGGCUUUAUUUGACCCCUCCCUUAGUCCCCCUUCUGGCUGGCAGGGGUGUCAUUUUCUCACAAAAACCUACUUUUGCUUUUUCUCCCUCACCCUCAUGAUCCGUGUUGGGAUUAUGUGAGAGAACGAAUGGACUUGAACUUCCCGCAGCAUCGUUGGUGCCUGACGUGGAUGGACUCAGCUCCAUGGGAAAGGUGAGUAAGGCAGACUGCUUCUCUGGUGUUUGGAAAACCCCUGAUCUUCUACAUACUCAUUUAUCUUUUAGAUUCCCCAGGUCUCUGAGCCAGUUCAAAGCGAUUGGUGUGGGAUGCUGGUUGUAAGAUACAGGGCCCACGUUGGAUGACACUCUUUGUCCUCCUCCCACUUUAUUCUGCCUUUGAUAAUUGCCUGCAUUCUGUGCUCAGGUGGCUCUCUACCCUGGGAAUUCUUCUCACCCUGAGUUUCUUUCUCCAAGCCCAAGUUCCCAGGUCCCCGGAUGAGAAACUCCUGCGACACUUAGAGCUCCUAGAUCUGAACUGAGGAGCCUGCAUUGCAGACCGAGGUGGCCUCCCAUUGAGCUGUCUUCCUGUGUGCCCCAAAGAACUCAGGACCCACAUGUCUGGGAAGAAGUCACCUGGCACCUUAACUCGUGCCCAUGCUUUCUGUUUCCUGCCCAGGGUUUUCUUUGGCAAACAACAUGUUGGAAGUCA